UCUCAGUUCGGAUCGGAGUCUGNAACCCGACUCCGUGAAGCUGGAUUCGCUAGUAAUCGCGCAUCAGCCAUGGCGCGGUGAAUACGUUCCCGGGCCUUGUACACACCGCCCGUCAAGCCAUGGAAGCCGGGGGCGCUUGAAGUGCGUUGCCGCAAGGCGCGCCCUAGAGCGAAACCGGUGACUGGGGCUAAGUCGUAACAAGGUAAC
rnacentral:rRNA from 1 species